rnacentral:ncRNA from 1 species
GAUGCGUCUGAGGGAUUAUGACUGAACGCUUGUAAGUCAGAAUCCCACCUAGACAAGGCAAGAUAAAUUUGCUCCCCGGUGUCGGGAGGUACUGUUAUGUAAUUGUGGUCGUAAUACGUCUACUGUUACAGCUGAUGUCCCACACUAUAAGGCCUUGUUAUUUAAUCGAAGGAUUAAAUGGUUACCAAUACCGGAUUACCCUGGUACAAUGUCGGGGCGCAAGAUCACUUACAGACGACUUGAUUCCUGGUCAAGUUGUUGUAAGCAGUAGAGUAGCCUUCAUACUACGAUCUGUUAAAACUUGUGCUUUGAUUGAACGAUUUGU